rnacentral:rRNA from 1 species
GUGGGGAAUAUUGGACAAUGGGCGAAAGCCUGAUCCAGCCAUGCCGCGUGUGUGAAGAAGGUCUUCGGAUUGUAAAGCACUUUAAGUUGGGAGGAAGGGUUGUAGAUUAAUACUCUGCAAUUUUGACGUUACCGACAGAAUAAGCACCGGCUAACUUCGUGCCAGCAGCCGCGGUAAUACGAAGGGUGCAAGCGUUAAUCGGAAUUACUGGGCGUAAAGCGCGCGUAGGUGGUUCAGCAAGUUGAAGGUGAAAUCCCCGGGCUCAACCUGGGAACUGCCUCCAAAACUACUGAGCUAGAGUACGGUAGAGGGUAGUGGAAUUUCCUGUGUAGCGGUGAAAUGCGUAGAUAUAGGAAGGAACACCAGUGGCGAAGGCGACUACCUGGACUGAUACUGACACUGAGGUGCGAAAGCGUGGGGAGCAAACAGGAUUAGAAACCCUGGUAGUCC